rnacentral:rRNA from 1 species
AUUGAACGCUGGCGGCAUGCCUAACACAUGCAAGUCGAGCGGAGCGGCUGACGGGUGAGUAAUUCCUAGGAAUCUGCCUGGUAGUGGGGGAUAACGUCCGCAAACGGGCGCUAAUACCGCAUACUAUCAGAUGAGCCGAGGUCGGCUUAGCUAGUUGGUGGGGUAAAGGCAUACCAAGGCGACGAUCCGUAACUGGUCUGAGAGGAUGAUCAGUCAACCUGGAACGGAGACACGGUCCAGCGUCCUACGCGAGGCAGCAGUGGGGAAUAGUGGACAAUGGGCGAAAGCCUGAACCAGCCAUGCCGCGUGUGUGAAGAGGGUCUUCGGAUUGUAAAGCACUUAAAGUUGGGAGGCGUUACCAACAGAAUAAGCACCGGCUAACUACGUGCCAGCAGCCGCGGUAAUAC